AGACAUUGAUUUUCCAGUCAAAUCCAGUGCUAUCGGAUUUCCAGUGACACAUGACUGACUGGCUGGCUGGUGGCUUUCAGUUUCAGGUCUUGGAGACACAC